GACGAACGCUGGCGGCGUGCUUAACACAUGCAAGUCGAACGGAAAGGCCCUGCUUUUGUGGGGUGCUCGAGUGGCGAACGGGUGAGUAACACGUGAGUAACCUGCCCUUGACUUUGGGAUAACUUCAGGAAACUGGGGCUAAUACCGGAUAGGAGCUCCUGCUGCAUGGUGGGGGUUGGAAAGUUUCGGCGGUUGGGGAUGGACUCGCGGCUUAUCAGCUUGUUGGUGGGGUAGUGGCUUACCAAGGCUUUGACGGGUAGCCGGCCUGAGAGGGUGACCGGCCAUUUGGGCAGAGAAACAGGCCAGAGACCUCCGGGGGGGACAGGGGGGGGAUAUAUCGCACAGGGGGGGGGAGUCAUAGGGAGACGCCGCGUGGGGGAGAUGGGGGCUUGGGGUUUAAAACCCGUUCGCGCGUGUGAAGACGGGUGUGAGAGGGAAAGGGGAAAAGAAGCCCCGUAAAAAUAC
rnacentral:rRNA from 1 species